rnacentral:rRNA from 1 species
AGGCCUAAUACAUGCAAGUCGAGCGGAUGAAAGGAGCUUGCUCUUGGAUUCAGCGGCGGACGGGUGAGUAAUGCCUAGGAAUCUGCCUGGUAGUGGGGGACAACGUUUCGAAAGGAACGCUAAUACCGCAUACGUCCUACGGGAGAAAGCAGGGGACCUUCGGGCCUUGCGCUAUCAGAUGAGCCUAGGUCGGAUUAGCUAGUUGGUGAGGUAAUGGCUCACCAAGGCGACGAUCCGUAACUGGUCUGAGAGGAUGAUCAGUCACGCUGGAACUGAGACACGGUCCAGACUCCUACGGGAGGCAGCAGUGGGGAAUAUUGGACAAUGGGCGAAAGCCUGAUCCAGCCAUGCCGCGUGUGUGAAGAAGGUCUUCGGAUUGUAAAGCACUUUAAGUUGGGAGGAAGGGUUGUAGAUUAAUACUCUGCAAUUUUGACGUUACCGACAGAAUAAGCACCGGCUAACUCUGUGCCAGCAGCCGCGGUAAUACGGAGGGUGCAAGCGUUAAUCGGAAUUACUGGGCGUAAAGCGCGC